rnacentral:lncRNA from 1 species
UGCCUCGGUGCCUCCUCUCCUCUGCGCGACCCUGAAAUGCUGCAUUCAGUUCAGAGGUCCUCCUUGAGCUCUUCUGGGGGAAGGCCAGUCGUUCCUUCCCUCUUCCUCUCUAACCUCCUGUGUUUAAUCCUUUUUCUCGCUCCCACCCAAUUUCAGUGUUCCCCAAGAUCCACUUCUCAUGCAAGGAGGCCUUGUUUUUUCAGGAAUGAAUCCUAUGAGAAGGU